rnacentral:rRNA from 1 species
AGUGAACGCUGGCGGUAGGCCUAACACAUGCAAGUCGAACGGCAGCACAGUAAGAGCUUGCUCUUACGGGUGGCGAGUGGCGGACGGGUGAGGAAUACAUCGGAAUCUACUUUUUCGUGGGGGAUAACGUAGGGAAACUUACGCUAAUACCGCAUACGACCUACGGGUGAAAGCAGGGGAUCUUCGGACCUUGCGCGAUUGAAUGAGCCGAUGUCGGAUUAGCUAGUUGGCGGGGUAAAGGCCCACCAAGGCGACGAUCCGUAGCUGGUCUGAGAGGAUGAUCAGCCACACUGGAACUGAGACACGGUCCAGACUCCUACGGGAGGCAGCAGUGGGGAAUAUUGGACAAUGGGCGCAAGCCUGAUCCAGCCAUACUGCGUGGGUGAAGAAGGCCUUCGGGUUGCAAAGCCCUUUUGUUGGGAAAGAAAAGCAGCAGGUUAAUACCCCGCUGUUCUGACGGUACCCAAAGAAUAAGCACCGGCUAACUUCGUG